ensembl:lncRNA
UCGGGACGGGGCUGGUUUGUGGGAUUUCGGCAUCCCCCUGGAUUUGGGGACGUGCUGAUCCCAAUGGGAAUGGUUUGGGAUGGGUUUUUUUGGGAUUUGUGUGUCCCCUCUGCAUUUGGGGACAUGCUGAUCCCAAUGGGAAUGGUUUGGGAUGGGGUUUUUUCGGGAUUUGUGCGUCCCCUGUGGAUUUGGGGACGUGCUGAUCCCAAUGGGAAUGGUCAGGAUGGGGCUGGUUUGGGAUUUGUGUGUCCCCUGUGGAUUUGGGGACACGUGGAUCCCAAUGGGAAUGGUUUGGGAUGGGGCUGUUUUUGGGAUUUACGCAUCCCCCUGGAUUUGGGAACACACAGAUCCCAAUGGGAAUGGUUUUGGACAGGGGCUCUUUUUGGGGUUUUACACAUCCCCCUGGAUUUGGGAACACGCAGAUCCCAAUGGGAAUGGUUUNGAUGCCAGAAUUUCUCCUUCCCUCCCUCCGGCCCAUCCUGGUUUUCCAGCCGGGAAUUCCAGCGGGAAAAGCUCUCCCACCCGGGAAUUUGGGAAUUCCGAUUUAUUGUGGGUGGAAUUCCCGGUGGGAAAAUCGGGAACGUGGGGAGAGGGAGCCCACAGAGGAGUCGGCACACAAGGGGUUAAUCCCAGCUUCUGUUUUUCCAGGAUUUUUGUUUUUUUUUUGAGGAAUUUCCCAAACGGAUGAGGGAGCAGCGAGGUGUCCCAAAAAAUCGAAUUUUGGGGCGCUUAGCACUUUUUGGGUGUUCCAAAUCCCUCCAGGAUUCCAUUUUUCAGCCUCUCAUCCCCAAAAAUCCCUGGAAAAACAGAACGGAGGGUCCUGGCCCGGGUUAAUGAACAGCAAUUAAGGGUUAAUGAAGGGCUGGAGGGGCGAUGAAACCUCUGGAAUUCCGCUGGAAUUCCUGGGGCACAAAGGGAAGAGCUCUGAGCAAAGCCCAGCCCGGGAUGCAGAGAAUUCCUGGAAGGAAAAUUGAAAUUAUUCCAAAUCUGUCCAGGGAUCCCAAGGUGAAACAGCCCAGGAAAUUUGGAACGGGGAGUUUUUUUGGAUUUUAUUGGGAUCGCAGCCAGGAAAACCAGGGGAAAAAAAAGGAAGAAAAGCCAUUCCCAGGGCCAGGAACGUCCUGCAUUUUAGGGAAUCCUGGAAUAAUUUGGCUUGGAAAGAGCUGACACGUCCCAACUCCAUUGGCAGGGACACUCACAUUAUCCCAAGCUGGAGUUUUGAGGAAUUUAAAGGAAUUUUAAGGAAUUAUUUAAAGGAAUUUUAAGGAAUUAAUGCUUUUUUCCCAGGCCCAUUUCCUUGGAUCAUCCUGGCGGGCGAUCCUAUCAUGUGGAAAUGAAGGAAUCUUCAGGAAUUUUGAGAAAUUUUCAGGGACUUCAAAGGUCUUCCAGGAAUUUUCAGGAUUUUUUUCAGUAAUUUUAAGGGAUUUUAAGGAAUCUUCGGGAAUUUUAAAGGAAUUUAAAGCAUUUUAAGGCAUCUCAAGGAUUUUUCAGGGUUUUUUCCCCAUGUUGAUCCAAAAUCCAGCGUUUUCUGGGAUGUGGCUGUGGGGAAGGCCUCGAUCCACUGGGAUCCAAAGGGACCCAUCCCAAACCCAGGGAACAGAGAAAUAAAUCCAGGGUCUGGGAACCCCA